rnacentral:rRNA from 1 species
CAGUAGCCACGGGAAUACGAAGGGGGCUAGCGUUACUCGGAAUUACUGGGCGUAAAGGGCGCGUAGGCGGCGCUCCAAGUUAGGCGUGAAAGUCCUGGGCUCAACCUGGGAACUGCGCUUAAGACUGGAGUGCUUGAGGAUGGAAGAGGGUUGUGGAAUUCCCAGUGUAGAGGUGAAAUUCGUAGAUAUUGGGAAGAACACCGGUGGCGAAGGCGGCAACCUGGUCCAUUACUGACGCUGAGGCGCGACAGCGUGGGGAGCAAACAGGAUUAGAUACCCCUGUAGUCCCUGUCUCUUAUAC